rnacentral:rRNA from 1 species
CAGCAGCCGCGGUAAUACGUAGGGUGCAAGCGUUAAUCGGAAUUACUGGGCGUAAAGCGUGCGCAGGCGGUUAUAUAAGACAGAUGUGAAAUCCCCGGGCUCAACCUGGGAACUGCAUUUGUGACUGUAUAGCUAGAGUACGGCAGAGGGGGAUGGAAUUCCGCGUGUAGCAGUGAAAUGCGUAGAUAUGCGGAGGAACACCGAUGGCGAAGGCAAUCCCCUGGGCCUGUACUGACGCUCAUGCACGAAAGCGUGGGGAGCAAACAGGAUUAGAUACCCGUGUAGUCCCUGUCUCUUAUAC